UCGUGGGCGGGUCAAAAGCUGGAGCCUGUCAUAGUGACGCGUUGCUGAAGAGUUGUCGGGUUGAGAAGCUGGCCUAGAAACAGCCUCUGAGUCGAAAAUAGAAAUUGGUGGAUAAACCUGAAUUUCAGUUGUAUCAGUGGCAGGAGUCUGGGAGAAAGCACAAGGGCAUCCUGGGAAGACAGCGGACCCCAGAUAAUCCACUGGUGCAAGAUGAAGACAGAAGGAGAGGUGUUCUCUAUCCUCAGGAGACCAGGAAGAGUGGAAGAUGUAUGAUGAGGUGGCAGAUAGUAAAAGCAGCAGCAGAAAUCAAUGUCUGGGGUUUGGACAUCGGAUGUGGUGUGGAAGAAACUUAACAAUUUGACACACAUCAAAGCUUUUCCAUUCCACCGACUUCCGCUUCCCAGUUCAGUAUAACCUUCGCUGGAUCUCUGAACCCAGGGAUUUGUUAAGGCUCCUUGUCUGCAGAUAUCCUCAAUGCUGAGAAAAGUUGCCUUUUAUACAGGCAAUAAACAACGAUGCCAGCCGGAAACUGAAGGAACAGCGCCUCACAUUCUGCCUUGGAAGCCUACAACCCAAUGGUCUCAAUGUGGACUUUACUACCUUCAAAAUCUCCCCACCCCGGACCUCAUCCCAAGAUCGGCACCCCCCAUCCCUACCUCAUUGACCUGUCCGUCUUCUCUCCCAUCUAUCCGCUCCUCUCACCUCACUCACCAAUCCUCACCACUACCUACCUACACUCACCUUUACUAGCUCCAUCCCCACCUCCUUGAUCUGUCCGUCUUCUCUCCCACCUAUCUGCUCCACUAUCUACCUGCUAUCACCGCGACUCCCCUCUCUAUUUAUUUCAGAGUCACCUUCCUCUGCCCAUUUCUAAAGAUGGGUUCUGACCCGAAACAUCAGCUUUCCUGCUCCUCUGAUGCUGCCUGGCCUGCUGUGCUCAUCCAGCUCCACACUUUGUUAUCUCAGACUCCAGACUAUCUCUAAGCAAAUUGUUAGCCUGCCUCAAUGAAAAAUGAGAGGAGAGAGCAACCAAGCAGCAAAUUUACCCUGCCAUAGCGAAGGAACCAAGAAAUCCCUUUGUAGUUUGAAACUCCACGGCCUGCACUGCCCAAUAUUUUCGUGGUGCAGUUAUUCUGCAGGCUGUCCAGUGAGGAAGCACUCUAUCACUUUAACUAAGGCAUCACAAAACAAAAACGCUGCAGUAGCAGCUCAAAACCACAAGCCUUGUUUGAUGUACUACUGGUGAAGUCAAUGUUUCUCCCAUCACUGCAGUGUAUGCUGUUGUAAAUUGGACUAUAAAUUAGCUACAAGUAUCAAGCUUGGUCCUGCUGUUAACAUCGUUCCAUCUGGGUUGAACUUAAGCUUGUAUAGCACUGAAGGAAGUGAUACCUUUUAGAUCAGAUAUUAAACCACGUGUUUUCUCUCAGUUGGGUGCAAGCAUACUUUGGUAUUCCUUUCAAAAAGAGCAGGAAGUUCUCCCCAGUAUCCUAACCAAUUUUUGUCACCUAACUAACGGGACUGAACCCAUUUUCCUGGUCAUGAUCACAAAUUGUUGCUAAUGAGGUAUUUCUGUGAGCAAAUUGGCUGUAGCAUUUCCAGCGUUACAAGAAUGACCACUUUUCGAAAAGUCUGCCAAUAACUGUGAGGCACUAGUGGACAUUUAGGAUGUCGAAAAGCACUGUAUAAAUGUAAGGACUUUAUUUCUUUAGCAGAACUGGCCAGAGUAAACAAUGAAUAAACAGCUGUGGUAGAUGUACUGUUCUGAUUGGAUGUCCUAUGGCAAACCACAUGACCAGUUGAAAAUUAGGAGGAGCUGAAGUCGAGACCAAUGGGCAGCUGUUUUUGAUGCAACUCACCUCAUCACCUCAAUUCAUUAUUGCUGCUGAAACCUUCAUCCAACAAGAACAGCUUCAUUUGUAAUGAUGUACCUCCUUUGACACCUUACUGCUCAAACUUCUUUCUUCACAAAAUACAACACUGAGCCACAUGAGGAGAUAUUCGGUCAGAAGAUAUACGUUUGGGUUCAGGAGCAAAUUUUAAGAAGAAUCUAAAAGAAGGAAAGAUAGGUGGAGGAAUGGAGACAUUUAGGGAGUGAAUUCCAGAGAGGGGUCCAGGCUCCUAAAGGAACAGCCAGUAGUGGUGGGACGACUAAAACCAGGAAUACUCUAGAGGCCAGAACUUGAUGAGAGUGGAUAUCCCAGAGCAUUGUGCACCUGCACUGGCCAUCAAGGGUAACAACUGGAUCUGACACAGCUGAGAAUUCCAGCCAUUAGCACCCAUGGGUGAUAGAGAAACAGCAAACCUCUUUCAGGAUGGGACAGAGUUUUAUGAUUCUUUGCUGGUGGUUUUACAGAUGCAGGGGGUUGAGAUGGGGUGGAAAGGGAGGAGCCCAUAAAAUUGCCCAGGCGGCCUUCCCAACAUCCUCUACCUCAUUAUCUGUAACUUUACACAGAA